GACAGAGGGUGCAAACGUUGUUCGGAAUUACUGGGCGUAAAGCGCGUGUAGGCGGACUAUUAAGUCAGGGGUGAAAUCCCGGGGCUCAACCCCGGAACUGCCUUUGAUACUGGUAGUCUUGAGUUCGAGAGAGGUGAGUGGAAUUCCGAGUGUAGAGGUGAAAUUCGUAGAUAUUCGGAGGAACACCAGUGGCGAAGGCGGCUCACUGGCUCGAUACUGACGCUGAGGUGCGAAAGCGUGGGGAGCAAACAGG
rnacentral:rRNA from 1 species